GAAGUGAUCUAUUUUGAUCACACAUUGGUAGAAGAUAGUUUUAAGAGAAGGCGUUUCCAUUGGAAACAUUUUCCAAAUUCUUGGAAAUUCAAGAAGAGGUAAGGGGAAAAAUAUUUGGGAAUCAUUGUUCUGUGAAGCAAAUUAUCUUCUAGCUCAUGAGAAUAUUGAAAUCUAGCCUAUUUGUGUUUUGUUUAAUUUUAGCUUUCCUGUUCCCUUACUGUGACUUUUAGAAGUUGCAUCCAACAAAAUUAACUUUAUGUGAGAAGGCUGCCUCCUCCACAACGUGGGUAGGGUUAAUCAUACCCUAUUAUGCAUCUAAGAUUUCUCAUAGUUGUAAAAUAGUCGAUUAUGUAGCUGCUCCUUCUUCAUUCUACAUUUGAUAUUCUUGGAAAGCAGUGACCUUGAUUUACUCAUC
rnacentral:lncRNA from 1 species